rnacentral:tRNA from 1 species
GCGAGGGUAGUCAAGCCCGGUCAAAGGCGCCGGAUUUAGGGUCCGGUCUCGCAGGAGUUCAAGGGUUCGAAUCCCUUCCCUCGCA